rnacentral:rRNA from 1 species
UCCUAGCCGUAAACGAUGGAUGCUUGGUGUUGGGGAGUAAAUCCUCAGUGCCGGAGCUAACGCGUUAAGCAUCCCACCUGGGGAGUACGGCCGCAAGGUUGAAACUCAAAGGAAUUGACGGGGGCCCGCACAAGCAGCGAGGCAUGUGGUUUAAUUCGAUGCUACACGAAGAACCUUACCUGGGCUUGACAUGCACGAGAAAGCCGGAAGAAACUCCGGCCCUUUCACCGAGC